rnacentral:rRNA from 1 species
CCUACGGGAGGCAGCAGUGGGGAAUAUUGCACAAUGGGCGCAAGCCUGAUGCAGCCAUGCCGCGUGUGUGAAGAAGGCCUUCGGGUUGUAAAGCACUUUCAGCGGGGAGGAAGGCGUUAAGGUUAAUAACCUUGGCGAUUGACGUUACCCGCAGAAGAAGCACCGGCUAACUCCGUGCCAGCAGCCGCGGUAAUACGGAGGGUGCAAGCGUUAAUCGGAAUUACUGGGCGUAAAGCGCACGCAGGCGGUCUGUCAAGUCGGAUGUGAAAUCCCCGGGCUCAACCUGGGAACUGCAUUCGAAACUGGCAGGCUAGAGUCUUGUAGAGGGGGGUAGAAUUCCAGGUGUAGCGGUGAGAUGCGUAGAGAUCUGGAGGAAUACCGGUGGCGAAGGCGGCCCCCUGGACAAAGACUGACGCUCAGGUGCGAAGCGUGGGGAGUAAACAGGAUUAGAUACCCGGGUAGUC